ensembl:snRNA U6 U6 spliceosomal RNA
UUGCUCAUUUCGGCAGCACAUAUACUAAAAUUGGAAUGAUACAGAGAAGAUUAGCAUGGCCUCUGUGCAAGGAAGACAUGCAAAUUAAUGGAACAUUCCAUAUUUUU